rnacentral:rRNA from 1 species
CACACAAAAGUCGUGCACGCCGGAGCAUGUCCUCUCACAUAAAAUCCAUCUCACCCUUUUGUGCACCACCGCGUGGGCACCCUUUGGGAUUGAACCGAUCCUGGAGGGGGCUUGCGUUUUCACACACACCCCUUUAAAAAGUGUAGAAUGACCCCAUUUUUGCGAUGACACGCAAUCAAUACAACUUUCAACAACGGAUCUCUUGGCUCUCGCAUCGAUGAAGAACGCAGCGAAAUGCGAUACGUAAUGUGAAUUGCAGAAUUCAGUGAAUCAUCGAAUCUUUGAACGCACCUUGCGCCCCUUGGUAUUCCGAGGGGCACACCCGUUUGAGUGUCGUGAAAAUCUCAACCUUCUUGGUUUCUUYUGGAUGCCAAAGGAGGCUUGGACUUUGGAGGCCUUUGCUGGUGUCUCUCUCUUUUGAGAGCCAGCUCCUCUUAAAUGAAUUAGCGGGGUCCUCUUUGCCGAUCCUCGACAUGUGAUAAGAUGUUUCCAUGACUUGGUUUCUGGCUCUGUUGCCUUUGGGACCYGCUUCUAACCGUCCUGACCUYGCGUCGAGACAAUGUUUGAGCGCGUCUCCCUUCUCGGGAGACCCUCUCGACCACACGAACCCUUGACCUCAAA